rnacentral:sRNA from 2 species
UCAUUGCAAUCGCUGAAUUUCCCUGUUGUGCAGGGAAGCGGGGGAACCAAACAAGAGAUGAAGCGGAUGGUGUGAGAGCCGUCCGGAUCAUUUCAGGGGUGAAUCGCGGAUCGUAAACAACCAUGGGUUUACGUUUCGCGUAGGGCGACUCUCACCGCCCGAAUCCGUCAGCUAACCUCGUAAGCGUUGAACGGAGCAUAU